AGCUUGCUGCUUCGCUGACGAGUGGCGGACGGGUGAGUAAUGUCUGGGAAACUGCCUGAUGGAGGGGGAUAACUACUGGAAACGGUAGCUAAUACCGCAUAACGUCGCAAGACCAAAGAGGGGGACCUUCGGGCCUCUUGCCAUCGGAUGUGCCCAGAUGGGAUUAGCUAGUAGGUGGGGUAACGGCUCACCUAGGCGACGAUCCCUAGCUGGUCUGAGAGGAUGACCAGCCACACUGGAACUGAGACACGGUCCAGACUCCUACGGGAGGCAGCAGUGGGGAAUAUUGCACAAUGGGCGCAAGCCUGAUGCAGCCAUGCCGCGUGUAUGAAGAAGGCCUUCGGGUUGUAAAGUACUUUCAGCGGGGAGGAAGGGAGUAAAGUUAAUACCUUUGCUCAUUGACGUUACCCGCAGAAGAAGCACCGGCUAACUCCGUGCCAGCAGCCGCGGUAAUACGGAGGGUGCAAGCGUUAAUCGGAAUUACUGGGCGUAAAGCGCACGCAGGCGGUUUGUUAAGUCAGAUGUGAAAUCCCCGGGCUCAACCUGGGAACUGCAUCUGAUACUGGCAAGCUUGAGUCUCGUAGAGGGGGGUAGAAUUCCAUGGAUAGCGGU
rnacentral:rRNA from 1 species